UACGUAGGGGGCAAGCGUUGUCCGGAUUCAUUGGGCGUAAAGGGUGCGUAGGCGGCGCGGUAAGUCGGGUGUGAAAUCUUGGAGCUUAACUCCGAAACUGCAUUCGAUACUGCCGUGCUUGAGGACUGGAGAGGAGACUGGAAUUUACGGUGUAGCGGUGAAAUGCGUAGAUAUCGUAAGGAAGACCAGUGGCGAAGGCGGGUCUCUGGACAGUUCCUGACGCUGAGGCACGAAGGCCAGGGGAGCAAACGGGG
rnacentral:rRNA from 1 species